rnacentral:lncRNA from 1 species
UUGAUGCCUUUCACUUCCCUCCGAACCUUCUUAAGAAUAAAAUUUCGUAAACAACUCCAAAUAAAAUCUUUAACUUCAGGAGGCAUUUGGCAUGACCACUUUCUUUCCCAAGAACCUUGAGUAAACUAACAAGAUAAAUUAUAAACCUGUCAAGAGCUAGUGUUUAUCCCAAUUUAAUGCUACACAAUACGUUGUUACUGAAAUGCCAUACAAGUUGGUCCAACCCUUGCUGAAGACUUAUAGGAACACUAUAGACUCUACUCGCAUUAACUGGAGCCAAUAUGCCAUCAAUAAAAUUAGUAUCCCACGAGCUGCCUUCCAC